GCCCCCCUGGUGGAGGGGAUCGCCGACGCCUUCUUGGAAAGGGGGCUAAGGAUCUUCGGUCCCACCCAGAGGGCGGCC
rnacentral:tRNA from 1 species